GGCUAACCAAGGGGGAAGGAUGACUUGCAGCCACAUAGAAGCAUAGAAACAGUCAGAAAGGACACUACCCUGAGGCCCAAUGAGGAUAUAAGUAAUCAAUCCUCCUCCUGAUCAGCCAUGCGUUUAACAUUGGUCACCUUAAGUGACAGUUUGCUGGGACAAAUGGACCUGUGCUUAUCUUCCAUACAUCAAAUGUGAAGACCAUCAGUUCAAGACAAGUCAUUAGUGAACUGGGAAAUCAUGGGAUGCCUGGCACCUGACGGCAUGACUGUCUGACACUGUCUCUAAAGUGAAGGAGCCACGUAUGAUGCCCACCAGACCGCUAACCAGAGUCAUGCUAUUCCAACGCGCGAUAAAUAAAGGACUCCAGUGACAACCUGUGAAGCUCUGUUGAACUCCAUGCCCAAGAGGCGUAAGGCAGUGCUGGAAAAUAAUGGUGGCCACACAAAAUAUUGACACUUUGGGCCCAAUUCCGACAUUUCCACUUAGGGAUGUACUCACUUUUGUUGCCAACAGUUUAGACAUUAAUGGCUGUGUGUUAUUUUGACGGGACAGCAAAUUUACACUGUU